UGAGCAACCUGCCCUUGACCCUGGAAUAACAGCUGGAAACAGCUGCUAAUACCGGAUAUGACCUCCGAUGGCAUCAUCUGGAGGUGGAAAGCUCCGACGGUCAAGGAUGGGCUCGCGGCCUAUCAGCUUGUUGGUGAGGUAACGGCUCACCAAGGCUUCGACGGGUAGCCGGCCUGAGAGGGCGACCGGCCACACUGGGACUGAGAUACCGGCCCAGACCUCUACGGGGAGG
rnacentral:rRNA from 1 species